GCAGCACAUACUAUUGACAAUAUUGUAUCUAAUAUCCCCUCUGCUCUGCCAGCGAUUUCUCCUCAUUCUACCAUGCUAUCGUUUGAGCAUAAUAUAUCUCCUAUGGUGCUAGUCUUCCACCUGACGACACCUGACUAUGCGUUGAUGUAUGAUUUAAGCUUUGUUGAUAUGCAUCAUCCAACUUAGCUGGUGCCAUUUGAAACUAAUUUUAGCUACCCGAUGGAGCUGAUACCAGAUAUGCCUCAACAAUGGGAGGCAAGAGAUGAAGGAGAGGGGCUUGGUAUUUUCACCGAUCAAACUAUGCAGAUGGAACCAAAUUACUCCGAUGCUCUUGCUACGGCUAUGCUUCCAAUGCCAGAUACUUCUGAGGCAG